GCCAGUGUGGUGUAGUGGUUUGAGCAUUAGACUGCAACUCUGGAGAUUAGGGUUUGAUUCCCUGCUUGGUCA
rnacentral:tRNA from 1 species